GCAAUGGUGCAAUCUCGGCUCACUGCAAAAUCUGCCUCCCCGGUCCAAGCGAUUCUCCUGCUUCAGACUCCCAAGUGGCUGGGGUUACAGGCGCGCAUGACCACACCCAGCUAAUUUUAUAUUUUUAGUAGAGACGGGGUUUCACCACGUUAGCCAGGCUGGUCUCGAACUCCUGACCUCUGGUGAUCCACCCGUCUUGGCCUCCCAAAGUGCUGGGAUUACAGGUGUGAGCCACUGAGCCCAGCCCUAUAGUUUUUUUUUUUUUUAGGUGAGAAGGUGAGAAGAGACAAAGUAGAAACCAAACAGAUGGCUAAAGGCAGAGGAUUGUGAGGGUCUGACUGAAGCAGCAGGGGAUGAAUUCAGGAAACCAUUCACAGAAAGGUAGAAUCAGGAGGACUUGAUAACUUACUGACUUUGAAGAAAAGAAGUCAAAGAUGACCGAGUUCCUAUCCUGAAGCCUAGGAAGAUGGUAAUGCUGAGAUAAGGCAUACAGAAAGAAUGGAGAAGACACCCUGGGCUACUUACCCAACCUGAUAGAUUAAGACAGUAUAACCAAAUCUGCCAGAAAGAACUAAAGAUAUAUAAUGAAAGGCCAUCUUCUGAACACUUGACCAUUUUCUACUGCCUCUAAGAAUCUCCUUCCUCCUUGUCAUUAAGUUAGAUGUUAAUGCUGUUAGGCAAAAUUCCAGACCAGGUACAGAGAAGGUGAGGGAGUCUAUUCAUUCACCACUGAGGGCAAUGGAAACUUGACAAAGCCCUGUUCUCAUGAUGCUUACAUUCUAGAGUGAAGGGAAACACAAAUGUUAAUUUCAGAUAGUGAUUAAAAAUAUGAAGGAAAUAUGGCAAACAGACCAGCUGGGGUGAUCAUAGAAAGCUGCUUCUGAGGAGUUGGCAUUUGAGCUGGGUGGGACCUGAUUACGAGGACAGCCACACAGAUCUGGGUGCAGAGCUCCACACCAAGAUCACGCCACACACAAAUGAGGACUGGAAAGGAAGGCAGGCAGACCUUGGGGGCCAUGAUGCGGUAGACCAUGGUGAGAAGGGCAAGUGAUGAGGCAGUAGAGACAGGCAGGGCCUGUGGCCAUCACUUGUGUUGCCUGUUCACAAAGGCAGAUGACAAGAGGAACCCAAGAGAGCACAGAGGGUCCAGUGAGUAUAAUGGAACCAAACCCAGCAUGCAGAUAAAAGCAGCUCGAAGUCUCUUCUCAAGCACACACACAGGUACAGCUCAUCUAUCAAAUGUUCACGAGUCACUUUGUGCCUGAGACAUGCCCAAACUACCAGCCUGCUUUUGAACAACUCAAAUAUCCUGGGAUGGCUUUUCAGUUUCUAUUUCCUACUUAUGCGCCCUUUUCUAGUUCAGCCUUCCGAUGCUCCACUCCGUCACAGUGCUAGGAAGAAAUUCCCUUCUCUUGGGCACCCAGCCAGCUGCCUUUCUCCAGCUGUAUUCUACCAGAUUGGAGAACACAGUCAUUCAGGGCUUGAAAUAAAGUUUUAUAAAAAUCCAAUGCCCCAGCCAGAGUUGCAGUGAUGCUCAACUUUCCAAGCACAAAAGGUAAAAAUCAACUAGGCACAGGAGAAAGCAGUCGGUUGGAGCUAGCGGGGAUUUGGGCUGCCCUCACAGAGGUGCUUCCAUCUGUCUUCAAUUUGCACUGAACUGCUGAUCACGUGGGGCUAGGACAGCGAGGAUAGAGAAGAGCCAAGGUUUGAAAACCAGUACUGUUCCUUGCCCUCUGACCUAGGAAAGGUUCACCAAGCUCAAGAAAAUCUCAAAUUUUGCUGCUCUUCAUUUAGCAAACUGUGCUGGGUCUAGCCUUUUUACAAAUGUUAAUAGUAAAUGAAAUCCACUGAAUUAAUCCAAAAUCAGGUAAAUCUGAUCCAAGGAUAAGUGGAUUCAAUGAAAAAGCUAAAGACCACUUCAACUCUCGUGAAGCUUGCUUACACGACUUAUUAGUUCAUUCAACCAUUACCUGAUCACUCACCCCACGCACAGAGGUGUGAUCCCUGAAAUACCCUCCCACUUGCAGAAUGAAUUUUUACAAUAGUUUGACCAGUCAUUGGUACUUAUUUAUAAUCAAUUCACUGGACUGUAAACUCUGAAGGCAGAGUCUACCCCAAAAUCUGGCACACAGAGGCCAUUCCAGUCAGUUCAGGGGCAAUAAAGAUAUGGCCACUCCGUCAUGAGCUGUUAAGUUUUGCUCUGUGCAAGCAAGGAGAAGGAAGUUAAGUCCCAGAAAGGAAGUGGGGGAAGUAAUUUAGAUGGGGAUGGUAUUUGGUGAGGUAACUUAACCUGGGACUUGAAGCCUGAAAAGGGAGGGGUGGGGGGAAGAGUUCCAGGCUAACCGAAUUGCAAAGAUGAAUAGCCUAAAGCAACAUGAUGAAGCAAAAAGCAGCCAGCUAGGUGCCAAGCACUGUUCUCUGGACUACUGAAAUGGUCACCUGCAGUACAUCUGGGAAGAGCUAGGCCACGGUGACCCUUCCCUAAGAGAGCCUCGGACCCUCAGUGUAUUCACCUGUAAAAUGGCUGCCAACCCUCCCCCGCUGCAGGGUGGCUAUAGAAUAAUGCCCAUGGAGUGCAAUGGCUACUGUGCCCGCUGCCAAGACCAAUGCCAAGGUGAUCCCACGAUAAGCACUGAGAGGGGCCAGAGGAAAAGCCAAUUCUGAGGCAAGAAGCAGGUGGCCACGUUGUCUACAAUUCUUUCAACUCAGAUGUGUUUGUGCGUCUGAUGGAACAAGGCUUAGAUUCAAAUCGACCAACCUGACCAACCUCGAAAGCCCCGGCCACAGCCCAGGACCUGGACUGGACAUUUAUACACAUAUCUGCUUUAAUCAUUAUAACCACUCUAUUCACAAUAUUCAGGUCAUGAAGGCUUAAUUGAAAACUGAAAGAAACAAACCUCCUACACAGGAAGUAGAAUGCUAACAAUCCCAUCUGCCAACUCCCACCCCCCUUUCACAGCUAAGGGCAAACUGGCCAGAUCCCCAUAAAGACUUCCCUUUUGUUGUUUUAGUCUAGUUCAGCGUUUCUCCCGACUUUAGUGCACAGUAGAAUAACUCGCCACAGCUAGACACGACGCCAAAUGUCCUAUGCUUUAAGAGCGACGUGGACUAGAAAGGAAACGUCGGCUCUCCAAGGGCGGACUUCGGAGCCUAAAGUCCCCGCAGGGCACGAGUCCACUAUCACGUGUGGGAAGGAGACUGACAGGCCGCCUGGAACAUCGCAGGCGCUCAACAGACAGCAGCUGCCCCGCUAAGACGGGCGGAGGAACGGGAUACUUAGGAGUGAGCGGGGCGGGACAGAAGAGCGCCCCGGCAGCUUUC
rnacentral:lncRNA from 10 species